rnacentral:rRNA from 1 species
GACGAACGCUGGCGGCGUGCUUAACACAUGCAAGUCGAACGAAGAGCGAUGGAAGCUUGCUUCUAUCAAUCUUAGUGGCGAACGGGUGAGUAACGCGUAAUCAACCUGCCCUUCAGAGGGGGACAACAGUUGGAAACGACUGCUAAUACCGCAUACGAUCUAACCUUGGCAUCGAGGAUGGAUGAAAGGUGGCCUCUAUUUAUAAGCUAUCACUGAAGGAGGGGAUUGCGUCUGAUUAGCUAGUUGGAGGGGUAACGGCCCACCAAGGCGAUGAUCAGUAGCCGGUCUGAGAGGAUGAACGGCCACAUUGGGACUGAGACACGGCCCAGACUCCUACGGGAGGCAGCAGUGGGGAAUCUUCCGCAAUGGACGAAAGUCUGACGGAGCAACGCCGCGUGAGUGAUGACGGCCUUCGGGUUGUAAAGCUCUGUUAAUCGGGACGAAAGGCCUUCUUGCGAAUAGUUAGAAGGAUU